rnacentral:rRNA from 1 species
AACGAACGCUGGCGGCAGGCCUAACACAUGCAAGUCGAACGCCGUAGCAAUACGGAGUGGCAGACGGGUGAGUAACACGUGGGAACAUACCCUUCGGUUCGGAAUAACUCAGGGAAACUUGAGCUAAUACCGGAUACGUCCGCGAGGAGAAAGAUUCAUCGCCGGAGGAUUGGCCCGCGUCUGAUUAGCUUGUUGGUGAGGUAACGGCUCACCAAGGCGACGAUCAGUAGCNGGUCUGAGAGGAUGAUCAGCCACAUUGGGACUGAGACACGGCCCAAACUCC